CAGAAAACGACUGUUGAAGACGGUCGCUUAACUAUUGUAUAAAGUUUUUUUCGUGUUUUGUUUCUCAUUUAGAUAUCCACACAACCGACUGCAGCUGUGUUCGGGAACUCAAAAAUUUGUGCAAAUUUGCACAAAAUUUUUACUGGAAGUCGUUCGCGUACUUUAUUUGCCCAGCAGAAGAGAGAGCGAGAGAGGGCAAAUUUUGACAAUUCGAAAAUAGAGAACUUGCAAAUUUCUACUGGGACUUUUUUUACCAGCAGAAAUUUGCAAGUUUGAACAGAUGUUUUGUAAAGGUCAGCUGUUUUAUGAAAAGCAGCCGUUACAUGAAAAUACAAAAGUUAACACCAAAAUACAACAAACAGUCAGAGGCAGAUUCAAGGCAGCAGCUAUUGUUCAGGUUCAGAAAAUUCGCCAAAUGAAGUUGUAAUUUCACCUCAAGUCGGUUGUCCUACAUUAGAAGGCAAGUGCAAAAUUUGCGGAAUUAUUUGGAAAUCUUGAAAAAUUAAAACAUUGCAUCCUUACAGAUACCAAGAAAAGAGCAAUGAUCGGUUUCUUAAGUGUUUUGAUGGAAUCAUCCUCAUAAGAGAGCUACGAUGAAACCAACACUGUUCCUUUGAAUUUGUUAAGGAUAAACUUGGUUAACCCGAAGCCUUUCGGUACGACGCAGUCCGAGUUAAGGGCGUGGUCGACGAACACGCAUGUAACACUGUGGAACAGCGAAACCGUCGGUAAGACGACGAAAAUUCUAUGGGGAGAUCCGAACCAUCAGAAGACGAGGCUACUACUUAAAGGAAGUAAGAGGGAGGUCAGUAUAGCGGUAUUUCGGUAUCAUAACGGGACACAUAGGACUACGAACUCACUUAUGCAAAAUCGGUGCGGCAAGUGAUAGCAUGUGUAAAGGCGUAUGGAGGAUGAUGAGACUUUGGAGCAUUUUGUAUCUCAAUGCCCGGCUAACAGACACUGGCAUUUAGGUGGGAACACAAUACCAAACGUGAAUCAUAUUAGGGGCGGCUCAAUCUGGUACAUACAACCGGCUGCCAUGGGAUUGUGGAAAACAAUGGAUUUCGUAAGUAGCACGGAACUGCUGACUUAGAUUUUCGUUUUCGAGGUUACUUGUUAUUACUUAGAUCGCACAAAAAAUACGAUUUCUGGCUUAUCCUAAUAUCCGCACCGUCUUUUCAACCUAAAGCUUCUUCUACACGAACGCAAUCCCAUGGCAGCCGGUUCUACGUACCGGAUUUUCCCCAAGGAAUUCCUUCAUCGGCAAGGGCAGACGCCUCAGUGUACUUCAUACUCCUACAACAACAACUACACACUUUUUGUAUUCAUAAGACUUGUCUUAUGUACGUCAUAUACGAAUAGAGCGCGCUCUAAUCGGCAUGUAUUGUCAUAUGUUUUGCACUUUUUUUACACUCUACAGGCUUAAAAAAUUGAUAUUGAGCUGACAUUUGGCACAGAUACAUCUUUUUGAUGCACGCUGGUUAAGUUCUUGAACCGACCAAUUCGGACCAUAUUUGGAUAUAACUGCUAUAUAGACCGAUUUUCCGAUGAAGGGUCUAAUCCAAUUUCGCUGAAAUUUGAAACAGUGGGUUAUUUUAAGCCUCCCGACAUCUGACCUAAAUAUGAUUUAGAUCGGACAAUAUUUAGGUAUAGCUGCCAUAUAGACCGAUCUCCCGAUAAGGGUCUGAAGCCCAUAAAAGCUUUAUUUUUUAACCGAUUUCUCUGAAAUUUUAAAAAGUAAGUAGUUUCAAGCCUUUCAACAUCGGACUUAAAUAUGGUACAGAUCGGACUAUAUUUAGAUAUAGCUGUCAUAUAGACCGUAAGUGGCAUUCCACUAACCGCAACUGGAGGACGCGCCCGCUAGCCGGCCAGCUAAGCUUCUUGUGAUAACGAAGGACACCACAAAGAUUGGAGCUCCAGCCUGUGUGGUGCUCACAGUUAUCCCGUGCCGGGGUCUGUAGCUAUUAUGGUUUCAAAAUGGACCUAACUUAUCUAAGUGGGUAGGCUUCUUUUACCUAACCUAAUCUAAAAUACAAAUUCUGGAUAUGAACAAGGCUUCGACUGCAAUGAAAUACAUUAGCAUCGGUAAAGGGCCUUAAACAGGCCCUGAAAUGCCUACUUAGGAUGUUUUAUCUGACCUUUUCUAGGCCAAAGACUUUUCAGUGCUCAAUUAAAGUUUAAUAAAUAACGUAAUUAAUGCAACUAAAUAACGUUAAUGAUAAAAAAUUAUGUCCAUAUUUCGUUGACAUAACAAAUAUGUUUGAAAUUACAUCUUCAUAGAAAUCGAUUCAAUCGAAGCACAACACAACAUACCUG